AGGAAAAACAGCCUUCCCAAAAACGUUGCGUCAUUCACACCAAAAUCGCUCAGUCAGUCCAAUCUCCUAAUCCACUGAACUCCGCUUUCCGGCAAAUUGAUACUACAAAAGCAUACCGAACUGAGUAUUCGAACGGAAGCCCAAGACAGGUAACACAUGUAUUCGAAACAUGACAAAUGUAUCUAAAAGUAAUUAUAUAUUCCACAAUUUCCAUGUAUAGAAGAGUCGUCCAUGGAUGGGUUCAACAAGGAGAUGAAAACUUCUAUAGACAAACAUGACAUAGUAAGUUAAAAUUUCUCCAUUGUUCACACUUCUGUAACCAUUAUUUGUUGUCCUCUAUAAUGGAACGGACAUCCCAAAAAUAAUAUCCCUGAAACACAGAUUGCUAUGGGAGUCAUGUACAUCAACUAUUUGAUUCAUUUACUUUGUAUAAGUUUUAGUACAGGUGAUGCCACCUAUGAGUGGCCCUUGCAGAUUUUCUCUUACUGUGUUUGGUGUCUUUGCUUUGGAUAUUAACAUUACAAGAAAACAAGAAAGGGAGAGAAUGGUUUCUCUUUUACAGAAAAUGAAGUUUGGCACUUUGAUCUUAUGAAGGGGAAUACAUUCAUCAGGCUACGGAAAGCAAAUAGGCGAUUGGUUUGAGGAUGGAAACGUUGGCAAGGAACAAUCAUGCCAAGGUGCUCGGUGACACUUUGGUAUUCAGCAAUGUGAGACUACCCAUUUUAAUCAAAUCAGGUUAUCCAUCUGCAGAAAACUGAAGCUUAAAACUAAUGGAAGUCCUCAAGGAGGUCUCGGUGCUGCUGGCAUGAGGGAUACAUGGAAGUGGAUUAUAGCCUAUAAAGGGAAUUGGAGAAGUAACAAGCUUUGAGGCUGAACUUAGAAGCAUUCUUCAAGGCCCAAAGCUACGAGAGAACAAAUGAUUCAAAGGAGUUAAACUCAGCAAUACAGUCUCAAGCCAAUCACGAAGGAUGGUCAUGCAACUCAGAAGUAUAGAUCUUUGAUAUAUGACUGUGAACCGAAGCUGAAAAGGUCCAUCACCAACAUACUCAGAUAAGCUGCUGGAUGUGCUGACAACUUACCUAAACUCGAAGCACAAGCCUUGUAGAAAUUAGAGUCCUGCAAGAGCCACCAAAUGAAAUUGCAACUAAGUAAGAAGCUGACUUAACUUGUGCUGCCCCUCAAGAGCUUGUUUAUUUUGUUAGUCC